CCAUUUCCAGGACCAAAGAAUAAUCAUGAGUGCACGAACUAUUACACACCCACAGAAAAAACGUAUUUAUUUUAUACAUUUCCCUCAUUAUUUAACAACAUCAGAUAUGUGUAUAGGUCUACAUAAUAGGUUAAUAUAAUGCAAAAAUAUUGGUGUUAGAUUAAUUAAUUUUGUUGACCGUCUAAUAAGAUUACUUACGUUGUUCAUGUAGCUUCCUGGUUUGAAAAAAAAGCCGUAAACCUGACACUGAAAUAGUCUGAGGUGUGCAGCUAAGAUAUUGGCUACCGCGUGUAAUCAAAAGGACGGUAUUUCCCUGUCACCAAUAUAGCUACGGUUUCGUAUCUGAGCUACAUUAAACAAACGAGGAAGAUAUACAUAAGUGGCAGAGCUACGUGUAUUGUAUGCUUUAAAAAUGUCUUUAUUUUCGCAGUAAGGACAAGUGGGAAGUGGGCGCAAGAUAGACACCCUGUCACUCAGAGCGGAUGAACGCUGCGGUGCUGCAUGCAGUUGCGCACCUCCGUGAAGUAACGCUGCAGUCGAUCGGAGCUCACGGGCGAGCCGUUACCGACGAGAGCUGAGGCGAGGCACAAGCAGAACUGCAGCAGUAUCAUACGUUACUCGUCGGGAACAAUUCCCUGCAUUAUCUGCGACUCACGUGCCUGCACGUCACACACAGAUAUCCUGCAGUGAUCCAUGUAAAAAAUACAAGCAGUGCGUUCAUAUCAUACUAUUUUUAAUACGAAAGUUUUAACUGCAAUGUUGGAAAUGAAAACAAUUAUGAUAUUUGAAAAACAAGCAUAAUUUCUGAAGUUUAUGGUCCGAUAGUUUUAGGAAGACAUGUCGAACCCAUCUCUGGAUAUUGACCAAAAAAAAAAAACUCAACAAAAACAUUUUCCUGACUUCCCAACUCUGUAGCAGACUGGCUAGAGAAAUUCGAUGGCCGUUAUAGAUCUCUUUUGGCUGUCCCGUCACCGUAACAGCUGUUAUUUCUCUCCCAAAACCAAUAAUCAAACGCAGAGAAGACUUUGCGCAUCGUUUUACAUUGCGCGGUCUUUCGGCUAAAUAAAUGCAACUUUUUGUAUUUUAUAUUGACUUUUCGCCUAAGUACUUCGUCAGCGAUAAUAUCGACACAGGAAUUGCACCGUAAUCAUUCUACUCAUUCUGCUUAAAACAAAUUAACAAACAGCCAAUUCUGUCUUUUGUAACCCCAUACAACUAUUUUUAUUUUCUUUACGUCGUACGGGCACAUAACAGCCCAAGGGAAAUUAUUAAUAAAGGCAAAAAAACGAUAAACCACAAAAAAAUCCUCCACAUUUAUAAGGCAUAUUGGCAGAGCCUUUGAAAGUUUUAAAAAUGUUCUUACUAUUAAACUAAAAUCAUUAAACAGGUACACUUUUUAUAAUGGGAUUAUUAUACGAGCUGCAGUUGAUUUUUUUUUCUCUAUGAAUUACACAAAGCCGGUGGGCAGACCCAUUUUCCUUUUAAAACAGUGGCAUGGAGAAAUGAGAAAUUAUAACAUUAUCCCCUGUCCAACGCGAAUGGGAAACGGGUAGUCUCAGCGAACAGUUGCUCUAGUUUAGAUUAAUGGUUCCCCGCGCUUAUUCUGCAAUACGGGUGAAAGGGCUAGGAUCACUAAUGAUUAUAAUAUAAUGCCUGGUGAUAACCACUCCCUUUGAGAUAUUAUCGCGCAGUGGGCAAUGCUCAGGGGACGAGCUGCGAGGCUGAAAAUCGGCAGAUAGCUGCUGAAGGGGCGGCUUUCUCGCGCUGAGACCCCAUAAGCGAGUGCUGUUCUGUCCGCCACUGAUAUCAACGACCCGGGGAUAAAUUAAAGCAGAAAGACUGGUGGAUGGUAGGUCCGAGGUGUCUUUUACCCAAUGUUUUUUUUUUUUUUUUUUUUUGCGUAUGUGGCAAUAAAGAAAAAUAACACGUAGGAUACGGACAAUACCGAUAUCUUAAAUGUCCACGUAGACAACGCAAAAAGGAAGUAAAACUUUAUAUGUCGUAUAAUGUCUUUUUAAUGUACAGCAGUGGAUAAAAAAAAACAUUUCUGACUUUUUUGUUUAACAUGUUUUAGUUUUGGUGACAACAUAGUCAACUAGGCUAUUUAGUUGUAUGAUAGCGGGAACAGAAAAUGGAUGGAUGGAUGGAUGCUCUUACAAUUAUUUGUUUGAAUUUAAUAAGGCACAAGGUUAUAUGAAACAACAAAAAUCUCACCCGAAAUAUUUUGUAAGUGGAAUGUAUGUAUUACUAUUAUGAUUUACCUAAACGAGCGUAUUAUCGCACUAAAUAUAACCGGACAAAGCUUUUAAAUUAUUAUUAUUUAAGUCAGAAAAGUUGUAAUUAAUUCAAAGAAUCUGAAGGCAUUUUCAAAAAUUGGGCCAAUGCAACGAUCAUCACGUCAGGGAUUAAUGAGCAGAUCAACACGAAUCAAGGGAGCGCUGUUCUGCACCAGUACACAAGUGCGGUGAAACAGAGAUAAAUUGUCUCGUACAUGAUACAGCGCUUUUAAAAACCGGGGACGUUAAAAACGAAACGUAUCAAAAACAGGAGAAAACGGUAUUGUUUCUUUUCUUCCCCAAAAAGUCUUCCACGCGUUUUAAUAAACGGACUUGUUGUAAAAAAAAAUAGAACUAAAAUAUUCUAUAUGUACCAAGCUGUCAAUGGGAGAGGAGGCAGGAAAAGCGGAGAAUUGUUUCAUACAAAAGCCUCAAUUAUCACUACUGGACUGGGCAAUAAAUAAAUAAAUAUAACGUGCCAUUGCCAUUGGCAGGUAAUCAGUAAUAAAGGUUGCCCGAAGAACUUAUUUGAAAGAACUCCAGCCAACUGAACUGAGGGUGGAGAUGGAGGCACAGUGAUCUAAAGGAGCACGAGAGACACACCACAGGCAAUCUCGUGCCAUUCGUCUUCAUUGCCUUCUGUGUGCGCAAAAAGCAAGCCUUGCAUAAGGUAAAGCCACCAUCAAAGCCGUGGCUUUAUUUUAUAUCCUAUAGAUCAGGAGGGAGACAAAGCUUUAUUUUCGUCAGGAGAGAGAUAUUUUACCUCCGCCUUACGGUUUUAUGUUGGAGAGGUGUCAGGCGGAGGAAAUGGAUGGCUAAUGCAUAGGCAAAACGCGGCCGCUCCGGCAUGCUGCACGUCAGUGGGCGCUCGGAGGGGGAGCGCAGCGGGGAUUUAGGGCCUGUGGGAGCCGAGCUGGGGUUGCAGCUUGGGGAUAUAAAUACGCUAGGCCUCUUUAGAGCCACACAUACGCGCGCACAUACAGCAAAACUGGGAUUGAACCGAGACCCGUAAUUUCCCCUGAUAAAUAUAUACAUCUACAUGAAGAUGCUAUAGACGAUAUGUUGACAAACAAGACAAUUAAAAACGUAAAUAAAACACGUAAAAAUCUACGAGAAAAUGUUUUUGCGCUAAGCUUGAAACAGAUUCUGCGUUGUUUUUUAAUUAUUUGAUCAUCCCUGGUUUAAUUUUAGUUCAACAUAGACAGAAGUCCUGAAAUCCAGUCGAAGACAGCGUUAAUUAGUUUUUCAAUUCCUUUUUAAAACACACACAACCCCGUCAUGUUUCUUUCCAUGUUAAAUGGAAAUCUAAAGAAGGAAUUUACUGCAUACUGGAAUAACUGCUUACAAAUAAGCACACAUUUCGCUGUGGGUUCAGUGACACUGUUUGGUCGUAUAAAAUCAGCGCAUAUAUUACAGUACACAGCAAAUAAUCUUAGUGAAAGCCACGUGAUGUGGAUUCGUAUCAAAUUAUGGAAGAUUCAAACAAUCAUAUUUGGCUUACGAAAUGUAUGCAGAAUACAUGUGAUUUACUGUAGAGUUAUAAAAGAGAAUUUAAACUCCCGCAGUCCCAAAGAUUCGAAAUCAUAAUUUAACAAUGGACCGCCCAUUCAUUUCCGUGGACACACACCAAUGCUAAUAGCUGUGGCGGCUUUUCAACGAAAGCUAAACCGUAGACUCUGGCAAGGAAUCAGACUUUUUUCUUUGUGUGUGUUUUUGUAAUUUUUUCGUAAACCAAAAACACUAGGCAGAAGGUGUUCUGUACUUUACAAACUGAACAAGGUAAGUCCAGCAAACGGCAGCAUAGCCAUGCAAACCUACUCGUAAUGACGACAUAAGGCAAGUCGAAAAAAGUUUAGCUACCGCGACUGAAAUAAUACAGAUCAUGUUAGUGCAAAAAACAUGCUCGUGGAAGACGGCGGUAAUUUCCUUAUAUUUCGUUACGUUGUAAAAAGAGGACAUUUAGCAGACAACCACAGCAAGGGCAUAAACAUACUGCAGAUUUAACACCAUGGGGGUGUCGCCCUGUUAAUUAGACUGGAUAGUACUCCGCGAUAUCUACCUUGGGAGUUGGGAAAAGUCUGGCCCAAACAGGCCGUAAAUACAGUUUAUACACGCAUUUAAAUUUUGACUUCUGCAUUUGUAUUCGAUAAUUUUGGAAUUUUUGCUGAACAUAGAGAUAACAUAAUGUUAUAGGACAUUACACAUCACAUUUACAUCAGUUUCACCAUGAUAUAUAUGUGAUCACUAAUAUUCGACAUGACCUUGUUAAACCUGUUGUCACCAGCACUCACCUUACUUUAGUUAAAUGACUGAAAGAAAUGAAAUAAAAUAAGGAAAAUGAAAAUAAUGGGUUUAAUUAGGAUACGCUAAAGCAGGUGUGUAGCGGGAUGCAGAAUUUCUUGGGGUGUUUAAAAGGGAGGCUGAGUGUUCAUGUGCUCUAGGCCUUGCGUGAGGCCGCUGUUAGCUCCUCCAGGCUGACUUGCUUACUGAAUGGAGGCUGAUAUGUUCCCAUACAGCCAUGUGAAAGCAGAGUCGGUGGGAGGCCGUGCAAAUUGUUUUCCCUCAGCACACUCUGUGAUGAGAUGCUGACUCCGCACCCUGAGAUUCGCUCCCUGUGUGGGUUUUGCCUGAACGGGCCAUCAGGUAGAAGCUGCAGGGAGCUGGGCUGGGCUGGGGGGGCCGGCUGGGGGGGCAGAGUGGCUUGCGCGAGGCCUUUCCCGCCUACUGACAAGUUGAAGAGGUGAGAGGGUUGCGACCUCGUGGUGCUGCUUUACAGGGAGGGGAAGGGGGCAGAUCUGGCCUCUGCAUCAAGGUGUGGGUGUGGCAGGAAUGAGCCGGUGGUGGCUGGGGUCUGAAUAGCAGUGCAGGUAUGAGGAGGACCAGGGUGCUUGUGACAGCACUGGAGCCAUAGCAGGCACUGCGAUCCCUGGCACUGCUUCUGCAUUGGGUUUGAGCUUGGUGAUCCCUGUGCCGAGCCCAUGUGACACUGCUUCAUGACGAUCCCUUUAGGUGAUCCCUGUGCCGAUCCCAUGUGACACUGCUUCAUGACGAUCCCUUUAGGUGAUCCCUGUGCCGAGCCCAUGUGACACUGCUUCAUGACGAUCCCUUUAGGUGAUCCCUGUGCCGAGCCCAUGUGACACUGCUUCAUGACGAUCCCUUUAGGUGAUCCCUGUGCCGAGCCCAUGUGACACUGCUUCAUGACGAUCCCUUUAGGUGAUCCCUGUGCCGAGCCCAUGUGACACUGCUUCAUGACGAUCCCUUUAGGUGAUCCCUGUGCCGAGCCCAUGUGACACUGCUUCAUGACGAUCCCUUUAGGUGAUCCCUGUGCCGAGCCCAUGUGACACUGCUUCAUGACGAUCCCUUUAGGUGAUCCCUGUGCCGAGCCCAUGUGACACUGCUUCAUGACGAUCCCUUUAGGUGAUCCCUGUGCCGAUCCCAUGUGACACUGCUUCAUGACGAUCCCUUUAGGUGAUCCCUGUGCCGAGCCCAUGUGACACUGCUUCAUGACGAUCCCUUUAGGUGAUCCCUGUGCCGAGCCCAUGUGACACUGCUUCAUGACGAUCCCUUUAGGUGAUCCCUGUGCCGAGCCCAUGUGACACUGCUUCAUGACGAUCCCUUUAGGUGAUCCCUGUGCCGAGCCCAUGUGACACUGCUUCAUGACGAUCCCUUUAGGUGAUCCCUGUGCCGAGCCCAUGUGACACUGCUUCAUGACGAUCCCUUUAGGUGAUCCCUGUGCCGAUCUCAUGUGACACUGCUUUAUAAUGAUCCCUUUAGGUGAUCCCUGUGCCGAUCCCAUGUGACACUACUUCAUGAUGAUCCCCUUAGGUGAUCCUCGUGAAAAUCCUAUGUGGAACUCUGUCCUGGUGAUCCCGCUAGUUGAUCCUCAUGGCAAUCCCAUGUGACACUGUCAUAACGAUCUCACCUGGUGAUACCUGUGGUGGUCCAUUGUGGCAUGACAUUAAGGUGAUCCCAUAUGGCACUCCAUCACAGCAAUCUGACAAAUUAAUCCCCGUGGCAAUCUCACACGGAAGUCCAGCAUGGUCAUUCUGAAAGUGAUGCUAUAUGGAGUUCCAUCACAGCAAUCCUACAUGGUGGUUCCUGUGCUGAGCCUCUAUGGCUCCCUGUCACAGUGAUCCUACAUGGUGGUUCCUGUGCUGAGCCUCUAUGGCACCCUGUCACGGUGAUCCUACAUGGUGGUUCCUGUGCUGAGCCUCUAUGGCACUCUGUCACGGUGAUCCUACAUGGUGGUUCCUGUGCUGAGCCUCUAUGGCACCCUGUCACGGUGAUCCUACAUGGUGGUUCCUGUGCUGAGCCUCUAUGGCACCCUGUCACGGUGAUCCUACAUGGUGGUUCCUGUGCUGAGCCUCUACGGCACCCUGUUAUGGUGAUCCUGGAUGUUAGUCCCAUGUGACAAACCUUCCUGAUGAUCCACCAUGGCCAUCACAAGCGAAUAACCUGUGUGGCAGCGAUCCUCCAUUGUGAUCUUGCACGGCAGAGAUCCUCCAACUGGAAUUGGCUGAAAUGGAGUGGACCAGGGCAGGGUAAGCACAGGAGCAGCAAACAUCACAAUAAAUACAAAGAGAACACAGGGACAAAGGCACAUCUCCAACUCGCCAUCUCGAAACAAUCAAAAUCUGACCUGGGGAGAAGUACCUUGCCCGCCCGUCCCCCCAACCACAGCUGCUUAAUAUGCAUUAACUUCUUUGGGACUUUAGGGUGUGGGAGGGAAUUAGCACCCAACACAGUUAAACCUUGCUCUCUAAUAAAUCAUGUAAUCCGUGCUACUGGAAGACAAAAGAGCUUCAGAUGUAAUCAUGCUGUUGGAAUCCUCUUAUCAGAUCAUCGCAGGCUGAACACCCCCCCCCCCCCAUACACACGCAUACAUUUCUGACUUCAGAAACGCACACUGAUGUCCAUUAGCGGCAGCCCUUCUCCCUCUCUAUCUGUAUGUAUGCAUCUACUCGGGAAUUCAUCUUUUCCCUACAUACCUUUGUGUGUGAUAACUAUACAUCCAUUGCAGAUAGAUGGCCGGAGAGAUCCCGUAUUUCCCGUGUCUUUGUAGCGAUGCCGUAAGCUGCCAUGAAUCAAACCGAAAGCAGCACACUAGGGCACAAUUACGUGAAAUAUAUUGUGGCUCUGUGGUUACUUUACAUUGUAAUAGAUGAAUUGUGAUAGGAAAGAAUAUUCCAUUUGUAUCCAAGUAGCAUGAAUGAGAAGGACGAUGGAAAGGGGUUAGCAGAUUGCAGUGAGAGGGAAAACAGUGUAAUUACACAUGGGUUUGAUCAGGUUUCCGAUCCUUCACACGUGAGAUUUGCAGUCUGUAUGAUGUCACUGGAAUCCUGCCGUUCGGCAAUUGUAUCCAAACUUGGAUUUUCUGAGCCAGUGGCCUGGGAAUUCAUAGGAGACACAGGCUUCUGUGGGGACAUUGUUCCUCGGGUUCACCAUCCCAGCAUUUGCGGGCCGAAUAUGUGAAGUGUGAGGAAGGAACUCGAUCGAUUCAACACAGAAAAACUGGGGGAGGACAAAGCAGCAUGAGGAAAAAAACACAAAGCGGAAGAAAAUGAACUUCAGUGCGUCUUUCCUCACGAUGGUAAUGAAAAUCGCACUUUCAUCAAUUGGAAAUGGUUACGAAUGAUGCAAUUACGGGCGUCUCCCUUUAAUACUGCUGCAAGCUGACAAAUAUCGCCAUCAGAGUAAUGAAAGUGGCCUCAAGUCAUGCACCUUUAAGUGAGCCCCAGCGGCCAAGGUGAGCUCGAGUGUCGGGCUGCAGACCAAUCUGCUCCAUCGCAUUUAAGGAGCUUAGAUGCUGCUGCUGUAACAUCAGACUUAAGCACUUUCUAUCAUUUAACCACUUUUACCAAAAGUUGGCCUAUUAUUGAUAUGUCGUUGCUGUUCAAUGAAAAACACGUAUCUCCAAAACAGUUUCACAGAGUGUGAAAAAAAGCAUUUUCGCAGAAAUGUACAAAAUAAACCUAAAACAAAGUACUGAGGCACCUUUAGCAGUGAUGUGUUCCAAUGGUGUCGUUAGUUCGAACCUCGCCUCUGUGUUCGGGAACUCGGUCGGGUUUUGACAGCUAAUCUAAAUAUGUGGACGUAAUCAGUGCUCUAUUCAACUGUACAUUUACCAUUGUACAAAACUCUUCUAAUUCGUAAAAUAUUGUGCGAUAUCAAACGCUAUCAGUAGACAGGAGAAUGUCCACAUUCCAUCUACAGUAAAAAGUCUCAGUCGUCAGAAAGUGGACAUAUGUGGUUUUCAUACAGUGUCUCCCAUGAUAAAAUGUCCAACAGUCGUGUAACAUGCCAGUGCAUAUCCGUUACUUUUCUCUGUUUCCUGCAAAUGACACCAUGUGACUGUCAUCCUCUCAAAAAUCCCCCUUUUCAUCCACCUUCGUUCUCUCUUUUAGGAAUCAGGAAAUGGUUUGCAGGUUAUGUUCUUGUCUGUGACCGGUGGCAACAGACGUAAUUAAUUAUAUUUAAGGAGUAUCACCGCAGUAGAUUAUUCAGUUAUUACCUUGCUUACAGUGUGGUUAAGAUAGCAGACCCGUGUGUCUACCUCCUCUCUCUCCUGUAACAAGACACGUGAAACUUUAAUGGGGUAAUAGUCUCAGUCAUUAAGCAGUGCAGCCCUGACAGCACUGACUUCAGUAGGAUUUCCCCUUUUUUUUACCUUAAUGUUCUCAGGAUAGUGAAGUGGCCCUCCAUGGACCCACAGGUGUGCCGUAUUGUCCUCUCGGCGUGACGGAUCUGUGAAAGAGCACGGCAGUCACCUGAGCCUGGGCUUCUGUGUAAAAAGCUGAUUGUCGGGACAUUAUCGACUCACUUCCCUGUGUAAUUCGCAGGGAGGGGAAAAAAAAAAAGAUAAACUUUUAUCUUGGUGAGACAGCGGAGGGGGUGGGUGAGAGUUCACUCUACCUUAAGCCCGAAACACUGAGAACAUUAGCGGGGGGCUGCCACCCUCCCCUGUUACAGUCAGCUGAGGCGGCCGUGUUUCUAAUCUCUGGGGGGGAUGGGGGACUGACAUUCGGCUCUGCGGUCGCAUGCCAGUUUUUGCGAAGUGCCAUUAGUCAUUUCUGCUUAUGACGUGGCGAAGCUUUUUCCAUCGGCCUGUAUGUUCUGUUCGAUAUCCUUGCAUUGACCGAGCGGCGUGCCAGCGAGGACGGCGGCAGCGGCGGCUCCCGUGCGCCUGACGGGACAAGGCCCCGGACGUGGCUCGCGACGCUCGAGGUGAAGGAGAGAGAUACGCCGGGCCCCGCAGUCACACGGACGCACGUCGCCAGAUUGAGCCCAGAUUACGCCUGCGACCCGCUGUUCGGCAAGAGGGGAUCACACACGCCGGCGUAUCCGCCGGAGCGGCAGCCGUGACACGCGUGGCGGCGUGCAGAAAUAAUGUUUCUGUCCUUAGAACAUGCCGGAAGGACAAGAAUUAGUGCUGGGGGUUCUGAGCAACACGACUGCAGUCUUGAUUUUUGUACACUCUGCGCUUAUUGUUGCAUCUGGAUGAUCUAGUGUGUCAAUAAAAGGCAAAAAAAAGUGUUUUUUCCUCUCAA